AACAGUUGCCAAUAUUUAAUUUUAAAAAGUGUGAGGUUAAAACAAUGAAACUAAGACUACAAGGAGAAAACACCAGUUCUUUCUUAAUUAUCACUUCAUCAGCAGAAUGGCAAUAUACUAUUGAUUUUAAACUCCUUUCUGCCCUUCGGGAAACUGCUAAAUUAGACAACCACAGAAUAAACAACAGCAACCGCAAAGAGAAAUUGCUACGGAAAAUUUUAAUCGUCCUUAUUUGAUUUAUGUGGAUUCAUCUUCAAGAUGAAGUCUAUAUGUUGUGUUUCAUUGUCUUAGAACAAUUCCGUGAUAUCUCAAAAUGCCCUGUAAAUUGAUGCUUUUGCAUAUGUGUUUUUUAACCCAUUAUGUGUGUUGCAUCACUCUACUUGUCUGCCUGUAAAGAAGCCAACAUCACAAUUUGGAAAAUACAAACAGCAAGGGAAAACGUUUUAUGUGACCAUCUUUUUAAAGGCAGUAUAAAACUGCAAAUGGGUUUCACAGCAAUUCAGCAAACUGCAAAUU
rnacentral:lncRNA from 1 species